UACGAUGACGAAGUUUUUCAUAAUCUCGUUAAUCUGAUUUAACAUGAGGAUAAUUUCUCAUCCAUUCAAUGACUUUUCUGAGC
rfam:Morus notabilis contig10677, whole genome shotgun sequence.